GCUCGAUUGCCCCGUCUUCAGUGCGCAUGUGAUUUCCUUUCCUCUUUCAGCUCUUUCUGCUGCUAUGCCUGAAUCUAUGAGAAACAUCUUCCUAAAAUGAUGAUUGGUGCAAUUUUGUUCACUUCUAUCGAUGCGAUGUAAAUUCUUGGAGAUGCCAUCUCAAUCAUGCGUCAAGUUUUCCCCUUUUUGAGCUUUUCCCUUUCACUACCUUCUCUGUCCGAGUUGCUUCUUUAGCUUCUUCAUUUUUUUCCUCCCAUUUCACUGAGUGCUCGGCCUUUUUAAGAAUCCUUUACUUGCGAGCUCUGAUUGCGGUUCCUCUAAGCAUUGGCUUUGAUUAAUCUUGCUGGGUUAUGGCUCUUUCUUUGCUUGGUGUUGUUCUGGGUCUUUGCUUUUAAUUUUCUUGAGCCUGGUUGAAUCUUCCUAAGAAUUGUUUCUAGUACUGGUGUGCUUAUGAAAGUAUUGCUAGAUAUAGGUUGUGACUAUGUCUUUGCUUGGUGCUGUUGUCGGUCUCUCUUGUUAUGCGUUUGUUGAUGUGUUAAGCUUUUGGACUUUUUUCCUAGGCAGACAAAAUUUUAAUUGCUUGGACUUGAGCUUGGUUGAGCUUUUGUAAGAAUUGUAGCUUCUCUUACAAUUUUUCCUUUUCAUUGAGUUUACAUUUCAACUUGUCAGAUGAUGGAGCUUUGUAUAGUAAAAAAUGUAUAUGUGUUGCCUUUUCUUCUCGUUAUGGUUUUUUGCCUUGAAAGACUGAGUUUUUUUAUUUGAUUUUUUUUUUUGCUGAUUACAAGAGAUUUCCCUGGUUGGUGUUUUGUCUCAUCCUUUUUACAUGCCCUCUAGGAAAAUUGAUAAGUCACCAUUGCCGUGUGUCUCUAUCUGUGUGAACAAGUUUGUAUGUGUACUAAUCCAAGUUUAUGGUUUUACUUAUAGAAUGAACAAUUGCCACUUGUCCAGCUAAAAUCAGGAAAUACUCGAGAUGGUAGUGGAAAUAACAGUUACACGGUUGCUUAUUACUUUGAAGAAAGCGUGGCAACAUCUUCUGGCAACAAAGAUUUCUGCAUCAGCGCCAACAAUGAACUUGUCCAAGCUGAAGAACAGAAUGCUCAAACAGAAUGGCAAUAGGGAGAACAAUCUUCUUCACGAAUACAAGUUCACCUCAGAGCAAGGUUUAGAGAUGCUGGAAAGAUAGAAAAGGAAUCUACAGAAGCUGAUAACUCUGGCAGUGCCAAAAAAAGACUUGUCUGAUCUUUCUUUAUCCAUGGUACUCCUUGAAGCUGCAUUGAUGUAGUAGGAAAUAUUUUGGAUUAUGUCGAGAUUAGACAAACUCGGACAAAUGUAAAACUUAUGCAUUCAUGGGCUUAUGUGUAUGCCUGGAGUUGCAUUUUGAUGUUUUUGUUUCAAACCCAUGCUUCUGUUAACACAGCUGAGAUAUUCUGCAUUGAUAGCACUAAUGGGUUUUGUAUCAUGUGGCUUUUGGAUAUUUAUUACCAUUUGAUAUAUUUCCUUAUUACCUUCUCCA